CAGCUUUACAUUGUAAUACCGAAUUCUUGAAAAUGACAAGAAAAAAUUGAAUUACUUAUUACACUAAAAAUUCAGACAAAUCAGUGUUCAUCAAGUGCGAAUGGAGGCUUAGUCGUGCUCUGAUAACAGAACUGGCAUCAUUUUACUUUGUACUCCGCAGAUAAAUCUGCUCAAUCAUGCACAUGGUAGUGAUGGAAACAAAAACAAAUGAGACACCUAAUGGCUAAAUAACUGAAUUGCAGCCAUUUAAAUGGGUUGGGCAUUUUAUUAGAUUUAAACAAAUGUUACAUUACUGUUUUGAAACUGGACAUAUAACCCCAUUAACUAAUUUAAAGACAUUAGACCGCAUGUACAGUCUAAUAAUUGCUGCCAGCUACAGAAAGCUAUAAAAAUUAAAAGUAUACAAAAAAACCUAAACAAUGGAGGUGGAAAAGUUUAUUUUUUUUUUAAAAAAAAGUUCAAAAGUACAGUUACAUAGAGAGACAAAAGACUGACAUCCCCAAAAACGCUGACUACAGGGCAACCGAGUAUCUUAAAAGGAAAAAAGACCAUUACUGCAUACAAAAAAAAAAAAACUAAAGGUUCAACUAAAACCACAAAGUGUUACUGAAAUUAAAAACAAAAAGCAAACAAAAA